GUAGGGUGCGAGCGUUAAUCGGAAUUACUGGGCGUAAAGCGUGCGCAGGCGGUUAUAUAAGACAGAUGUGAAAUCCCCGGGCUCAACCUGGGACCUGCAUUUGUGACUGUAUAGCUAGAGUACGGUAGAGGGGGAUGGAAUUCCGCGUGUAGCAGUGAAAUGCGUAGAUAUGCGGAGGAACACCGAUGGCGAAGGCAAUCCCCUGGACCUGUACUGACGCUCAUGCACGAAAGCGUGGGGAGCAAACAGGAUUAGAUACCCUGGUAGUCCACGCCCUAAACGAUGUCAACUGGUUGUUGGGUCUUCACUGACUCAGNNNNNNACKAACGCGUGAAGUUGACCGCCUGGGGAGUACGGCCGCAA
rnacentral:rRNA from 1 species